rnacentral:lncRNA from 1 species
AGCACAGUGAGUUAAACUGCUGUAUGCUUGAGCUGGUGGGAUCACCAUCGUCUGCAAUAAAGUACCCAGGUUCCAACUGAAAAACAGAAGAGCAGACUCUCCUUGGCCAGAAGUCAAUGCUGAGAUCUCUGUGCGUACUUCUUCAGCAUGAUGGACAGAUAACAGAAUGAAGACUCCGCAAGAUCAUCAGUUCAACAGUCCCAGCUUGUGAUAAGGCAUGAGGCGUCUGUGCAGUCU